UCUAUAUUAGUGAAAAUUAUAUAUAUUCUGCUCUCCCCCUUGGAAUGUAGCUGCAUUUAAUAACUUAAUAACAUGAUUCCGUUAGUUCCAGGACGUUAAAAAGUUUUGUCCCCCUUCCAUGGUCGAUCAGACCCUUGCGCUGAAGUUCGACAUUUGGCAAAAACUUUGAAUUUCCAGGACAUUAAAUGCACUCUCCAGAAUAGUACAUACGAAUUUCCAUCAAUGGCUGCUUUAAUGAAAUCUAUUCAAGCAAUUGACCCUUUCAUAAAUAGAAUUCCGAAAGAUUUGAAAGAAUCCUUUUUAUCCGACUACAAGGCGGAGAUUCAUCAAGGUAUGGACGGCUUGGUUGAGGCGUCAGAGGAUGGAGAGGGGUUUAUUGUGCGUUAUAAGACAAUAACAUUAUAUGCCUCCAAAUUAUGACACAUGCUUCAAUUUUUAAGAGGGAUCAAGUUCCCAGAUGAAAAUAAUGACGAAAUUCGGAAAAUUGUAUCUCACCUACGGUUCUUGUUCUUUUUUCUACCAUUCGUCGACACUACACUUUUUGAAUAGAGGUACUUUUAGAUGCAUUCUGAAUCAUGUAAGAAAAUUCUCCUUCCUAGGAAAUAGAAGUGUAGCGUAAGAAACACGAAAACCACAUAUCUCUGCAAUACAAAUUUGAAAGCCUUCAAUUUGCGGGAUUUUCACGUGGACAUCAUGCAAUUGGUGCUCGGAUGCGUUGGUUGCUAGUACGUUGGGUUUUUUUUGAGGGGGGGGGGCGAGAAAACUAAACGAGAAAUACUAGUAUAUAGGAAUACUGAGUUGAUUCUGAAAAAAAGCAUUAGGCAGUUUGAAAUUGCUCCCUCUUAAUAAUGCCGAUUUGAUCAGUACAUCAAAGUAAAAAGGAAUCCUUGAACGGAUUCAAAAUUAGUUACUUUGGCUCAAAAAAAGUAAAUAAUGUGCAUGAAAUUCAGAGUGGAUUUGUUUUAGACAGUAAGGAAUACAAUUAAACGUUACCUGCUAAAUUGUAAAAAGAUAGGUAUCAAUGUUACCGUACUAUUUGAACUGAUAACAAACUAAGGUAUUAGAAUUCAUCUUUUUGAGAGAAGUUAUAACAUUUUUAUUGAUUUUGUAAAAUGUUUCUACAAUUUCAAAUGUAAUUUUGGAUGGAAUAAAUAAAAAAAUA
rnacentral:lncRNA from 1 species